AGCUCUGUAAGCGUAUAUCAAAGUUGUUGCAGUUAAAACGCUCGUAGUCGAAUCUUGGCUGAACUUACGCGGAGUCCGCAAGGAUUCUGCGGUUGAGGAAAGCCUUUGUGGAUUGUGUGCGCGGAGGUGUUUUAUUACACUUCCGUUGUACUGCCACCGUUUACUGUGAAAAAAUUAGAGUGUUCAAAGCAAGCGAUUUGCCCUGAAUACAUUAGCAUGGAAUAAUAGAAUAGGACCUGGUCUUAUUUUGUUGGUUUGUAUAAUUUCAGGUAAUGAUUAACAGGGACGGUUGGGGGCAUUUGUAUUCCGAGGCGAGAGGUGAAAUUCUUAGACCCUCGGAAGACAAACAGCUGCGAAAGCGUUUGCCAAGGACGUUUUCAUUGAUCAAGAACGAAAGUAC
rnacentral:rRNA from 1 species